rnacentral:rRNA from 1 species
CUAUAGUUUGAUCCUGGCUCAGGACGAAGGUGGUGCCGUGCUUAACACAUGCAAGUCGAACGGAGCGAAUGAAGUGGGUUUUAUGAGCUUAGUGGAAACGGGUGAGUAACACGUAGACAACCUGCCGACAGGAUGGGGACAACAUUCCGAAUGGAUAACUAAUACCGAAUGAAGCGGAGGAGAGGCAUCUCUCUUCCGUGAAAGAUGGCCUCUUUUUAUGCUAUCACCCGUCGAUGGGUAGCGUC